rnacentral:rRNA from 1 species
GUGUCAGCAGCCGCGGUAAUACGUAGGUGGCAAGCGUUGUCCGGAUUUACUGGGCGUAAAGAGCGCGCAGGCGGCCGAGUCAGUCGAAUGUGAAAGCCCCCGGCUCAACUGGGGAGGGUCAUUCGAUACUGCUCGGCUUGAAGAUGGGAGAGGGAAGCGGAAUUUCAGGUGUAGUGGUGAAAUGCGUAGAUAUCUGAAGGAACACCAGUGGCGAAGGCGGCUUUCUGGCCCAUUCUUGACGCUGAGGCGCGAAAGCUAGGGGAGCAAACGGGAUUAGAAACCCCUGUAGUCC